rnacentral:lncRNA from 1 species
CAGAAGCCAGAUUUGAAAAAGUAAGAAAAAGAAAUGAAUUCACAGGGAUAUGCAGUUGUUUCCUUCAUAGUUUUCUUGGGCAACCAUGCAAAUCAUUAUGAACAAGGACUUUCCUGUUGCAGAAAAUUGUGACAAAAGCAACAUCAGUGCAACGAUUGAAAAUAACCUUCUUUAUGUUAAACAACCAAAACUAAUAACUUCAGCAGAGA